rnacentral:lncRNA from 7 species
GUGACACAACCUGCAGCGUUAGCUUUGGGUGAGCAGUUCACAUCUGUGAACACUGCAAAAACCAUAACCAUAACCAGCUCCAAUUAGCCUUCUACAUGGCAAUUUUAGCAGCUAGGACAACAACGUGGCUAUAAAGGAUGAAUGAUCCUUUCACUCCAGUGGAUUCACUUCAGGCUCAGUGAACCUGAUUUGGUAGCAUUCCCUGAGAGCAGUUCUGCUUUGAAGAAUAUCAAGAAAGAACAACUGGAGGAAUUGAUGAUGCCAUUAAAAGAUGUAGUCAGUCACCGUCCCACAGCUUACUACAUAUUAUACUUGUGGACUCUAAGAAACAUGGUGAAUAGGAGAGCUUUUAAAGAAGAACAUGAAGUAACAGAGGAAGAGGCAAGCAUGAACAGAAAGACUUGCACAACUGAAAAAAAAGAAUUUUUCUCAGCAGAAGAAUCAAUUUUUUGUUUGUUUGUUUGUUUUGUACCAAAAAUACAAAAACACGUGAAGUAGUAUGAUGCUGGCAACAUUUCUUCUUGAAACAUUAUUCUGUAGUUCUGCAGGUAGCAGAAUGCAGCACCUGUUGCCUGGAUCUAAGAUGUGAGGUGACAACACUGCACUUACCAAGUCCAUGCCACACUUCAACUGAAGCAGAUGGAAAACUAAGCACUGUGAGUGUCAGGUCUGCUCACUGAGGUGGUGUGGGGCAGCAGGGCAUCACGUGCAUACUUUGCUAGAUAGAUAGUUUCUACAUGUUUAAGUCAAUAGGACUGAGGACUUGAACCUCAGGAUUCUCUUAAGAAAACGGGAAUGUUAGUAUACCUCCUGAGUGUCCUAACUGAUGUUAGCCUCUGAUAUAUUACUCACAUGAAAGUAAGGAUCUCCCACAGGUGACAGACACAGAUGACCUGCUCAAGUAAAAUCUUACCUUUAUGUCUAAUAUUGAAGAUCAGCCAAGAUAAAAGCAGGAAGAACAGAAACUUUAUGAACUUGGUGGGCCACUUUUCUUGAUGGCAAGACUUUUGAGAUCCCAAGAUGGAAAAUGAAAGUUUUAUCCACGCUAUUAUGUCGUGUUACAUGCACAUAUAUCGACUGAUACUUAUACUGAUGAAAUAUAGUAUAUUGCACAGAUGACCAUCUCUCUCUAAUCUGCCCCAGUGAGGCCACAUCUGGAGUACUGUGUCCAGUUCUGGGUUCCUCAGUUCAAAAAUGACAGGGAUCUUCUAGACAGUCCAGAAGAGGGCCACAAAGAUGAUUAGAGGCCUAGAGCAUCUCCCGCACAAGGAAACACUGAGAGGCCUAGUACUCAUCAGUCUGGAGAAGGCAGAAAGGGGAUGUCAUCACUGAUUAUAAAUAUCUGAAGGGUGGGAGUGAAACCAAUGGGGGUGGGCACUUUUCAGUGGUGUACAGCAAUAGAACAGGGGCAAUGGAUAGAAACUGGAAAAAAAAAAAAGGAAGUUCUGUACAAACACAAGGAAGAAAUUCUUUGCUGUGAGGGUGACGGAGCACUGGAACAGACUGCCCAGAGAAGUUGUGGAGUCUUCUUCUCCAGAGAUCUUCAAGACCCGUCUGGAUGCCAACCUGAGUGACUUACUGUAGGAAACCUGCUUUAGCAGGAUGCUGGACUUGAUGAUUUCCAACAGUCCCUUCCAAACCCUGCAAUCCUGUGAUUCUGUGAUUUAUUAUGAAUAAACCAAACCAUUACUAGUAUAAUAGCAAUUUAAAAUGUUGGUACAUGAUGCAUAUGUAUUGUAUAAAUUUUCAAGUCUACAUUAUCUUACAAGUGAUUUGUUCUGUCUGACAAGAAAAUAACAUUCAACAUAAAAUCUAGUAGAUAUAUUUAGUAUGAAACUUAGCAUCUCUCCUAACCUGAAAUAUAUGUCAUUCAGUAUUAUUAUCAACACAGAAGUUCUCCAUACCUAAUGGAUUUACCUAUAGCACUUAUACUAGUAAACAUAUCACUAUCAUUCUUAAUUUCUCUUAAUAUUUCAGAUGUUCAACUGAUAAAAUGUAUUGGCAGUCCAAAUUCUUUUAGAAAUAAUAAUAUUUAGCUUAUCUGCUGCAUAAACAAAAUUCAACUGGGAGUAGAAACUCAUCAUAUUGGUGCUAUGUAUAGAAUAAGGCAGUCCAUAACAACUCAAAUUUACAGUCUAGACUGCGCAUAGUGAGUGCCAAAUAAAUGAAACUGCACUGUCCUAGUUUUACGACUGGGGAAAAUGUAGACAAAAAGACAGUUUGUGUGUUUUAUUAAAUAUAAUGCAAAUGCAGUGAUCUGGACUUCAUCCUGCAAAAUAGUGGACCAAGAGGAGUUUUCAUUCCCAGUAAGAAUGUGGAACUUAAU